rnacentral:rRNA from 1 species
UACGGAGGGUGCGAGCGUUGUUCGGAAUUACUGGGCGUAAAGCGCGUGCAGGCGGCCGACUAAGUCAGGUGUGAAAGCCCGGGGCUCACCUCCGGAAGUGCGCUUGAAACUGGUCGGCUAGAGUACGGGAGAGGGAAGCGGAAUUCCUGGUGUAGCGGUGAAAUGCGUAGAUAUCAGGAGGAACACCGGCGGCGAAGGCGGCUUCCUGGACCAACACUGACACUGAGGAGCGAAAGCCAGGGGAGCAAACGGG